CUCCGGACUGCGGGGUUCAACUGGCGGUGUGGGCGUGACCGGGAGCGGCCUGUCUGGGAGGCGGGGCCUCCUAUAGGGCGUGGCCGUCUGGGGGCGUGGCCGUCUGGGGGCGUGGCCGCGGGAGGCUCGUCCACUUGGUCAGAGCGAGCUUGUUGGACCCUGCACAAAACCGAGGAGAGAGCGCGAUCAGGGCAUAAGGGAAACAGGAAAAGCUUUGCGCUGUUCUGCUGCCUUUCUGAUACGGGGUUCUGUGAGCGGCGGAUUAAACGUAAGGCCCCAAGAUUCCAGUGUGUGUGGUGAAUUGCCUUCUCUCCUGUAUAUUCCCAAUGGCAUUGUCUGCCGUCCUUGGAAGAACUUACAAAAUCGUCAAGAAAAUCACUUCCUGGGUCUUGUGGUUCAGAUGAGAAAGGCGUAACUGAUCCAGAGGAGUCCUCGAACAUAUCUGUGGAAUGGAGGAACAUCACUGACCCCCCGCUGGGAGUGCAGUCACAGGCUUCCCCAUUCGGACUUCGGGCUUCAGCAGUGGCUCCGAGCCCCAAAAAUGAGGAAGAGGAGACUGUUUGAGCAUGGAGGUUCUGAAAAUCUUCCCUGAAGGGUUGUAAGGAGAGUGACCUUCCAUACCCCUGCCCUUUGCCCUCUCCCUACCCUGUCUGGUGGCAUCUAGAUUUUAGAUUUCUUUCUGUCUGUAACAGUUCAUAAGACGUCUCAGGGGAGGACUGUCAAGCCUGAUGUAAGAGGGUGUUGUGUUGGACUUUGUCCAUGGCCGGGAGUAGGAGGGAGUUUAUGGGUUGUAGGAGUCAUGGGUUUAACAGAGGGAGCGUUAAGGGAAAUUUCAGGAACACUUGGUUCCUCUGUGGGUAGGUGGUUAUUAUGCACCUAUGAGAUGAUGUCUAAAUCAUAGGGAAGUUAGGGUAAGUGCCAUUCUAGACCAUUUCCACAGAGCUUGGAAGUUAAGGGGAGGUGAAAUAGAGAAAAAAGUUGUGUGUUUGUCAAGAGUGAGCAUGUUGUUGUCAGUUGGGGUGUAGUAGAGGCAAUUUGAGGUUUGGAGGUAUCAUCCAGAGAAUUGUACCUUAGUUCUGCAGACAGAACAAAGACCAAAGGAAAGGACGGAAUGAACCAUUAUCUGGCACACUACUAGUGUUCAAACACUAAUUCAUCAGCAAAUAUUUAUUAAGGGGCAGACUGUGCUGGGUUCCAGGAAUGGAACCACGAGCAAGGCCAUCUUGGUCCCCACACGUGAGGGUUGCUUGGAGUUUGAUGAGGGACAGGUGCUGCCCAUCGAUAGCAUCAUAAGGAGUGCUGGGUGGGGUUCCAGAGGAAGCUACGAAGAAGGCAGGGUGUGACUGCGUCUUUCUUGCACAGGUUUUGUGAAGGUGUUUACACAUGUGCACUUGGCAGGAAGGCUGUGGGGAGCCUGGGGGUGCAUGAACAACAUCCAGGGUUGGCCAGAGAGGCCAUGGCCCAGGGCGUUGGCAAAGAGCCUGAGCCACCAGAGAAACUGAAAGCAGUUCAGUCAGUCCUGCGUGUCUGCGUGUUGGAGGAUGGGGGGGCUUUGGAUGAGAAGUGAUGAGAGCUGAAGACGGAGACCAAAGACUGUGUGUGACUGUGGGAAAUCUGUUGAGAAUUACAGCCUUUCUCCAGCACUGGAAUUCCUAACUGUGUUUUACAAAAUGUUUUGGUGGCAUAAACCCUUUGGCAGCCUGACAAAACCUAUAAACUCCUUUGAAGAAUAAUGUUUUUGUUUAAAUAAAACACACAAGAUUAAAAAGGAAACCAUUUGUAUUGAAAUACAGUGAGCCAACUUUGUGAUAUAUUAAAACCAUAUUGAAACCUC